UCUCUGAUAGUAUAUCGGUUAGUACACGCGCCUGUCAUCCAUCCAACUCUCACAUUCCGCGCGAAAGCUGGGUUCGACUCCCAGUCAGAGAG